rnacentral:rRNA from 1 species
UACAGAGGUCUCAAGCGUUGUUCGGAUUCAUUGGGCGUAAAGGGUGCGUAGGCGGCGCGGUAAGUCGGGUGUGAAAUCUCGGAGCUUAACUCCGAAACUGCAUUCGAUACUGCCGUGCUUGAGGACUGGAGAGGAGACUGGAAUUUACGGUGUAGCGGUGAAAUGCGUAGAUAUCGUAAGGAAGACCAGUGGCGAAGGCGGGGUCUCUGGACAGU